rnacentral:rRNA from 1 species
GCGAGCUGCCGGCGUACCUAAUACAUGCAAGUAGACGCUGAAGGAGGAGCUGCUUCUCUGGAUGAGUUGCGAACGGGUGAGUAACGCGUAGGUACCUGCCUGGUAGCGGGGGAUAACUAUUGGAAACGAUAGCUAAUACCGCAUAACAGUAGAUAUCGCAUGGUAGCUGCUUGAAAGUUCAAAUGCACCACUACCCAGAUGGACCUGCGUUGUAUUAGCUAGUUGGUGAGGUAACGGCUCACCAAGGCAACGAUACAUAGCCGACCUGAGAGGGUGAUCGGCCACACUGGGACUGAGACACGGCCCAGACUCCUACGGGAGGCAGCAGUAGGGAAUCUUCGGCAAUGGACGGAAGUCUGACCGAGCAACGCCGCGUGAGUGAAGAAGGUUUUCGGAUCGUAAAGCUCUGUUGUAAGAGAAGAACGAGUGUGAGAGUGGAAAGUUCACACUGUGACGGUAUCUUACCAGAAAGGGACGGCUAACUACGUGCCAGCAGCCGCGGUAAUACGUAGGUCCCGAGCGUUGUCCGGAUUUAUUGGGCGUAAAGCGAGCGCAGGCGGUUAGAUAAGUCUGAAGUUAAAGGCUGUGGCUUAACCAUAGUACGCUUUGGAAACUGGUUAACUUGAGUGCAAGAGGGGAGAGUGGAAUUCCAUGUGUAGCGGUGAAAUGCGUAGAUAUAUGGAGAACACGGUGGCGAAGCGCUCUCUGGCUUGUAACUGACGCUGAGGCUCGAAAGCGUGGGAGCAACAGAUAGAUACCUUAAGUUCUACUCACUA